AACCACGCACCUAACAUCACGAAACCCACCUACUCCUCAUUUUCGAACAUCACGGAAACUACUCCAUUCUAUUUUCCUUAAUUCGAUCUGAAUUCUUUAUAGAGAUUCAUGGACUCUUGGCCUAGAAUUUGAAUUCAUAUUUCAUUCUUUCUUCUUUCGUUUCAUAUUUCUAUCACAAUAAUUUAUUUAUCAUGCCAAAAUUAUUGUCUUUGUAUCAAAUUUGAGGGUUUGUAGAAAGUUGUUUUGCGACAACCAUUUUUCCUGCUCUCCUCACAGGUUACAUUUUUACAUCAAUCUUUGUUCAUUUUCAACUCUUAAUAGGAUUUUGAAUUUUUUUACAAGUGCCUGAGAGCUUUCAAAGCCCUUAUUUCAUUUGCUGGAAAUAAACUAUUGUUGGAAACGUGGUCUAGGCUCACUUGCUGCUAGUGGUGUCAAGGAUAUGAGGGAGAAUGUUUUGGAAGGAAUUUUGAUUUGCUUCCUUCCUUUCCUGCUGCAAUUACUUCUAUUUGAGGAUUACAGAUAUAAUUCAUUGAUAAUUUUUUUAAAAGGAUGAUAAUUCUUUCUUGGCUUCUUUUUCCUUACACAUUUUUUAACUCUAACAUCAGCAAAAACAAUAGCAGAAGUGCAGGCACUAGUCCAUUGGAAAAACUCCAUGUCUAAUCCUUACUCGCUCAAAUCAUGGAGACUUUCGGAUGCCCAAAGUCUUUGCAGUAGACUGGCAUUGUCUGUGACAACCUUAAAUCCGUCACCAACAUCGACCUGAACAAUUAAAGCCUCAGCGGCACACUCAUCAACCUUGACUUCAGUGCAUUUCCUAGUCUUACAAGCUUAUCCCUGAAUAUCAACUAGCUGCAGGGUCAAAUCCCACCAAGCAUUGCAAUCUCGUGGCUAUGGAAACAAUAACUGAGGAUGAUUUCUGAUUUUCCUAGCUUUAUGAUAAAUGUGGUGGAAGUUGGCGCAACUAUACAAGCUAUGCAAUACCGAGCUUUGGAAAAGAUUAUCCUGACACAUGGUUUGCUUCCAUCCAUUUUUUACUAAUACGAGUCUUCUAAAAAUUGUAGCUGCAAUUUUAUGUAUAUUACUCAAGUUGUCAUUAGUAUCAUACUGAAUUACUGAUAUAUAUUGGCUUUCUUAGUGGAAACUUGUAGUUGUCUCACAAAAGGAUCUUAAUGGAAUUUGGUCUGGUUUUAUCUAAUUGAAGAUCCUAGCUUUUAUAACUACUCCGCUGAUUAGUUAGUGUGCUCAAAUUUGAUACUAUUGGCAUGCUCUUAGAUCGAGUUUGCUAACUUUCUGUUUUUGUUAGAUUUGGUGGCAAGUCCUCAGUUCUCAGUUCUCAGCUAGUUUGCUUACUUUUUGUCAUGCUUCAUGGAGGACUAGCGGCAAGCUAAAAUAACUUAACAUUUUUAUUAAGGGCUUAAUCUUUAUCUGAUUGUUGAUACUCUCUAAUAAAAUGCUCUUGCAAUUCUGCAAUUUUAUUUUUCAGCAAACUGAAAUAGGAUUAUAAAUAGCAGGGUUGGGAUGAUAUCUUACGCAGGAGUCAUGAGAGGACUUGAAUAUUUUCCUACAUCCAAACCAGUUCUAUGAAAGUUGAAGUUCUGUGCUAUCAAGAUAAAGCCUCAAGUAUCUGAUUUAGUAGAUACUAAUGAAGCCAAAGUAGAACAAAUUUAAACCCUAUUCACCUUCUUCUUCCUUUUCGACCUCUUAUAUAUUAUUCGCUGCUUGAAAAGGUGUAGUUAUAGAAAGCUAAACAUGCCAAGGGGAUCCCUCAGCUCUUUCAAUUGUCUGACUUUGAGAUUGAGUGUUUAUUGGAUAGCUUCCAUUAAAGAUGUGAUUAAAUCUGAUCUUUUUUUGCAUACAGCUUCCAUUCGGGAUUUCAAACUAUGGGCUACAAUGUACUCUGCCUUUUUUGAGGAUUCUUUAUUAAUCUUAGGCUGUAACCUACAUCUUUAAAUCUGCAAAAUGUUGCUAGCUCUAUGCCAGACACUAACAGGCUGUCUAUAUUUUUUUUUUAAUGUGUUGCUGCUCAUUUUACUGUUUUUGUAAAGGGUUGAAAAUUAGUUCUAGUGAACAUUGAAUAUUUAAGAUGGACAUGUAUGCAUAUUUUGUAGCUCUUUGUUCCCCUGCUACUUACUAACAGAAGCUUUUUCCCAUAAAAUGUACCAUGAUAAUAUGAUAUACUUAGCUGUGAAUAGAUAAACUAUGAUACAGUAGUGUUUGUAUUCAAAUAAC